CUUUUUUUUUUUCUUUUUAGACAGACUUCCCCACCAGAACAAACCUAGAAAGCAAGAGAGAAUUGACACCUGAAUAAAAUUUUGUUUGGCCAGGUUUUGGGAGGUUUUUUGAGAUCCAUCUGCUGUUAUUGAAGUCCUUAAUAAGUGUUCUCACAGCCCAACUUUGCUUUUUGUUGGAGCCUGCAGUGAAGUCAGAACCCUGCGAUGAUGACAUCAGAUUGUUGCUAUGGAAAUGACAAACCCAGUCACAAAGUCAACACUGCUGUCUCACCACAGCUUCAAAGAGCAGCAAGGCUGGGAGGGAGCAAGUUCUUGUUGACACUGAGGACAAAUAUAUGAAACAAUAUCUGAAAGUGUGACUCCAUCCUAAACAGCCAGGACCUCCAUCGUAGACUCCAUAGUGCUACCUCAAGCUGACUGGACCAUCCCAGAGCCAGUUGGGAAACACACAAGCACACAAACACGCAUAAUGCACCGCUUCUAACCUCGUCUACUUAGCCAGAGGAGACAGACAGCUUGACUCCAUACCUGAACAUCAGCUGCUUGGAUCCAGUUCUGCCCUGCUCAAAAUAGUUUAUAGUAAAGCAUAAACUGAACCAUCAAAAAUAGAAUCUCAAUCCUUCGAAAUGUCAGGAGAUCAAGUUCACUGCGCAGCAAGAGCUGAGUGUUCAGUCCAAGAGGCUGCAUCAUUGUCAAAGGCUCAAGAUUAUUUAGAAUGAAGAAAAAAAAUCUUCUCUUGAAUAGCAGCAGUCAGUGACCUGAGCCUGCUCAUUGUGUUCCCCCUUUGGAUCAUGUGCAGACUUGACUUCAACGUUUGCUCAGUAACUUCAUUUCAGUGGUAGACUCAGAUGACUCCUGUAUGAAGUUGGAAAAAGCUGGAGAUGCCAAGAACUGAAGAAAGGGUUCAGUCCUGAAGGUCCCUGAGUGUAGCAGAGAAAAAUGCAGAAUCAAAGUGCUGGUGUUUCACAGGUCACCACAAAUGAAACCACCUCACCAUCCCAGCUUCUCUUCCAUACAUUUUACAGGUUUGGAAGGAUCAAGGACUCAUCUUCCCUGCUUCUCCAAAGUUUUACUACUCAUCUUUAUCAAGCAGGCUUCAGAUGUUAAUAUAACAACGGGGAUUUUAUUGUGUUACUAAUGAGGUUAGGGUGCCUGGAGUCUUGGCUAGACAUCUUUCUAUUGUUUUAUCAUUAUAUUACUUGUUAUAUUAAUAAUAUAGUCAUUAUAUUAAUAAUAAUUAGCUCUUUUAUUCUGCCUCUAAUAGAUUUCUGAGAAUGUUAUGAAGCUAAAUAAGCACUAUUUUCAUUAUAGAGAGAGUGACUCAGAAUCAUGGAGUGAUUAGGUGGCUUUCCCAAAGCAUUAACAUCACUAUGAUCAUUAUAAUUAUUAUUCUUGAUUUUUAAGGGUGUUAUACUGUAUUACUUGGUGAAAAACAAGGUUUGCUGGCGAGUCACUUCACAAAUGGAGAGCAAAAAAGAAGGUUUGUACACCAGGUAGCUUACAAUCUGAGGCCAUAUACACGCACGUUCAAAUGAUCUGGCAUAAUUCCCUCGGGUUUGUUUUUCUGAUAGAAAAACUUACCCAGAGAUGCCUGAACAGAUAUUUGAAUGCUGAGCCCCUGAAGAGCAGAUGGCCUGCAGUGCUGACUCUGCACACCCAGAGGACAUCUGUGCACACAUUUCAACAUGUUCUGCAGGCUCUCCCAGUCUGCCUAGAGACACAAUGCCAGUAGUAUACAGGAAGGAGAAGUGAAAGCACAGCACUCUGGGAUGCUGGAGGACUCUGCUUUGGCUGCUCUCAGAAGAGAACAUUCACUCUCCUGGGAAGUGAUUUAAUCCUGGUUGUUCCCAGGUUAUUUUUCUCCUGAAGCAGCCUUUUUCACUUUAGACAAAAAAUCCUGAAUGUCUAUACUCUCAUGGUUUCUCCUGGGAGAGAAGUGGCUCUUCCAGGAGAAACUGAAUAUCUAUUUGUGGCCUAAGUAGCAAUAUGUUUGAACAACACCAGUAUAUAGAAAAACCAUCUAUCAUUUUGGUCAACCUGAAAUCUGUACCGUCUUCCAUAGGGAAUACCUGACUGUACUCAUUCCUAAUUUAGGGUGUUCCAGAACACACAGCUGCAAUGAGCUCUGCUUAAGGCUAGCCACAAAGAACAGUUGUACACAUGGUGAAAAUUGGCUGUUUUUGCAGUUUAAUUGCAUCAUGCUGUAUGCACACAGGGUAUUUUUAUUAUUUAAAUGAUUUUACUACAUUGCAAACUAAACUUCAUCCACAUGUAGUUUAGUUUGCAAUGAAGCUAUUUGUAACAUUGCAGCCUUUGACAGCUCAUCCUCCUUCCCCCCCCCCCAACUCUUCCCCAAACUCGUGGCACACUCAUGGCACAUGGGCCAGGUCACGGAGGACUGGAAAAGGGCCAAUGUGGUCCCUAUUUUCAAGAAGGGGAGGAAGGAGGAUCCAGGCAACUACAGGCCAGUCAGUCUCCCCUCCAUCCUUGGUAAAGUCUUUGAAAAGAUUAUUAAGGCUCACAUUUGUGAGAGCCCAGAAGGAAAAAUUAUGCUGAGGGGAAACCAGCACGGGUUUGUAACAGGUAGAUCAUGUCUGACUAAUCUAGUCUCUUUUUAUGACCAGGUUACAAGCACCUGGAUGCAGGAGUAGGGGUAGAUAUCAUUUACUUAGACUUCAGGAAAGCUUUUAAUACGGUAUCCCACCCCAUACUGGUGAACAAGUUAAGAGGCUGUGACUUGGAUGAUUACACAGUCCAGUGGGUGGCAAAUUGGCUAGAGGGUCAUACCCAGAGAGUGGUGGUGGACGGGUCGGUAUCGACCUGGAAGGACGUGGGCAGUGGGGUCCUGCAGGGCUCAGUCCUUGGACCGAUACUCUUCAAUGUCUUCAUCAGUGACUUGGACAAGGGAGUGAAGUGUAUUCUGUCCAAGUUUGCGGAUGAUACAAAACUGUGGGGAGAAGUGGACACACCAGAGGGCAGGGAACAACUAUAGGCAGACCUGGAUAGGUUGGACAAAUGGGCAGAAAACAAUAGAAUGUGAUUUAACAAGGAGAAAUGCAAAGUGCUGCACCUAGGGAGGAAAAAUAUCCAACACACCUACUGCCUAGGAAAUGACCUGCUCAGCAGCACAGAAGCGGAAAGGGAUCUUGAAGUGCUAGUGGACUCCAAGAUGAACAUGAGUCGUUGGUGUGAUGAAGUCAUCAGCAAAGCUAACUGUGCUUUAUCGUGCAUCAGCAGAUGCGUGACAAACAGAACCAAGGAGAUGAUAAUUCCCCUCUAUCAGGCGCUGUUCAGACCACAGUUGGAAUACUACAUGCAAUUUUGGGCGCCGCACUUCAAGAGGGAUAUGGAUAACCUGGAGAGGGUCCAGAGAAGGGCCACUCGUAUGGUUAAGGGCUUGCAGGCCAAGCCCUAUGAGGAAAGACUAGGGCACCUGGACCUCUUCAGCCUCCGCAAGAGAAGGUUGAGAGGCGACCUUGUGGCUGCCUAUAAGUUCAUCACGGGGGCACAGAAGGGAAUUGGUGAGGCUUUACUCACCAAGGCGCCCCUGGGGGUUACAAGAAAUAAUGGCCACAAGCUAGCAGAGAGCAGAUUUAGACUAGACAUUAGGAAGUAUUUCUUCCCAGUUAGAGAGGCCAAAGUCUGAAAUGGGAUCCCAAGGGAGGUGGUGCUCUCCCCUACCCUGGGGGUCUUCAAGAGUAGGUUAGAUAGGCAUCUGGCUGGGGUCAUCUGAACCCAGCACUCUUUCCUGCCUAUGCAGGGAGUCAGACUCGAUGCUCUAUUGACGUCCUUUCCGACUCUAAUGUCUAUGAAUCUAUGAAUCUAUGAACCUGUGUGGGGAACAGCACCCAGAGGGCUUCCAGAGUGUGGGCUUAAGAAAAGGUUGUAUCUGGCGGGUGCUGCCUGCAAUCUGGGGCAGCACCCACUCAGCUAGCACCCCGUCCAGGCAGCCCAGGGGGUUUGCCACCACCAUGGAGGGAAGGACUGGGCCUCCCCCUAGAGCUUAGGGACUGUGUGGGCUGGUGGCAACUCAUGCAGGCAGACUCCACUGAGGAAAAAAAAGGUGGUGAGGAGCUUGAUCCUUUUUUUUUCCCCACGGAGCCUGCCCACCUUCCCCACUGCUGGGGACCAAGCUGCUGACGAGCCCUGAGCUGCAGGGGGCCCUGGACCUUCCCUCCACGGUGGCAGUGCCCCCCGGGCAGAACCCACCUACUUGAAGCGCACCCAGGCAGCCCCAGUGGGCAAUGCUACCUCAGAGGAAAGAACCGGAGACCUCCGCAGCUAAGGGGCCAUUCAGCCCACCAGCAGCUCACCCACUGGCUGUGGGAGAGGUGGGCAGGCUCCACAGGGAAAAAAAAAAAAAAGGAUCAGGCCCCUCGCCAUAAUGGUGAUGGAAGUCCCUAAAUUGAAAUGGUGGGCUUUUAAUUGUCACUAUUAAAAACCCACCAUUUCAAUUUAGGGGACUAAACCCCUAUCACCUGUACAAGUGCCUAAAGGUAUAACACAAACUGAAACUGGUCCAAUGUUGGAGAAGGAUUAUGGGGAGAGUGAAACAGACGAAGCACACUGUUUAGAUAUGUUUCAUUCUCUCCUGACUCCCUGUUCACUACUGGAUCCACUUCAGAGAGUUGGUCCAGAUCUCAUAGCCCUCAACUAGCUGGAACUGAGCUGUUUUAUUACCCAUCUUGCCAAUUAUUAUGCAGGAGGUUACAGCUGAUAUAAACUAAAGUGACAACAUCUGCCCAAACUGGAAAUACUAUUCAACAGUUUUUAAAGCAGUUAACAGAAGAUUUUCAAUAACUUGGUAAACAGAUAAACUAAAACAGCAGUAUCUUGGCAUAUACUUACUUUAAUGCCAAAAAAACUAAAUGGAAAAAAACCCUGGUAUCCUGGAACUUCUAAUUCUUUAAUUGCUGCAUGAAAUCAUGUCUAAAGAUUACAAAUUCUGAUCUGGACCACAGAGAUAAAAAAUAUGUGAUAGCCUUGCUUUAUGUGAGCUCAUGUGUCUGACGCACACACAAUAGUCACCAAACAAAAUGCUGGUUUCAUGCAAAAGGCUUUCAGUCAUUUAGUUCCUGUGACUGAUCCAAGUUCAAUCCCUACUCUGGAAGAGAAAACAUUGACAGAUCCCAAAGCAAACCAAUUGUUUCAAUGUAGUAAAUUGAAUCCAAACAGAAAAAUGAGAUCGAAUGCCUGUUUUCCAGCAUUAUAGGAAGCCUAAUUAGACCCCACAGCUGCAAACUCCAGAGAGCUUAAUAAAUGAGAUUUGGAGGAAAGAAAAACCUUACAGGAGAAAGUAGAAUAAUCUGCAGAAGAACAUAAUGCUUUAAUUUGCUCCAAAGAGAAAGAUAAAAAGCAUAAAACUAUGGCCAAACAAUCUGAACUACUAAAGGAGCAAGAAACUUGGUCAGAAAAGUUCAUUGGCAAAUACUCUCAACAUAUGAAAUGUUGUUUCUUAGUGCUAUAAAGUCACAGGACUAAAAAUAUUAUUAGAAUUUCAAAUGUCUAAACCUGUUUGGCUGAAAAUUUGACUACCAAUACUCAUAAGAAACUUACCAUAUUUGCCCAAAUCCAAGACAACUCCAAAUUAAAGACAAAUUAAGACAAGCACCAAUUAUUAGAUUUUAGACAGGGAAAAGUAUAAAUUUGGUACAAUUACCCAUGUCUAGAAUCUAGUUAUUGGAGGGUCGUGUUAAAUUUGUUCCCCCACCAUUACCACAAGGAAAGUAGUGGCAGGGAAAGCAGUGGCUGGGGAGCAGGCAGCCUUGUCCCGUUGUCCCUCCCUUGCCACAUGCCUCCCAUGCCUCUCCCCCUGCUGUCUGCCUGUCCCUCCCAUCCCCAUGCAUUCAGUGCCUUCUCCCUGGUGCAACUUGUCCCCCUCUGAUACCUGUCCCCCUCUGCCCCCCAUGCUCCCAGUCGCUUACCCUUGCAGCAGCUCUGGCUCUGGCUCUACUGGGGGCACAGAGCACCUGGCCAGGCCAGGCGGUAGCAGCAGCCAGCUUCAGCCUCCAGCCUGGGUUGGGAUUGAGGCCAGAGUCACAGCUGUUCCACACACCUCUUCCGCAUGCUCUGCAUGCUCCCUUUAUUCUGCAUAGCCCUUCCUCCAUGCUCCCCCUGCCACCCUUCCCCCCUCCUCCCCACCCCAUGCGCCACUUCCCCAUACUCCCCUCAGCACAGUGCACCCUUUCCCUUGUGUAUCGUCCAUGCCCCUUCCCUGCACUCCCCUUGCUCCAUAUAUCCCUUCCCCUGCAUUCCCUCUGUUGUUCUUUCCCCCAUGCUUCCCCUGCACCAUGUGCUCCUUCCCAUGCUCCCUCCACCACCAAGAACCCCUUCCUCCAUGCUCUCUCCUUCACUACACAUCUCCUCCUGUGCUUCCUUGCUCCAUGCAUCUGCUACCUCCUAUAUGAGCUGUCUGUAGCCAUAGCAGCUGCAUGCUUGACCCAUACUCAAAUCUAAGAUGGGGGGUGGGGGGUGCCCAUGCUGAACUAGGAAAAACCCUGUCGUAGAUUUGAGUAAAUAUGGUAUUUUAAACUGGGAAAUUAUAGCUGCAGUGCAACUAGUCCAUCAACAGGUGCUUUUUAGUUGUUAAUGGACAUUACAUUUAACAGUUGCUUAAAAAGAAUAAUGUAAAUUAUUCAGUAGCUGUUCAAAGGGUCAUUAUAUACAUUUCACUUCAAGGUACACAACCCAUGAUAUCCUCAGCAUGAGAAUAAUCAUAUCCAAAACAAGUUUGCAAGUAUCUGCAGCUCUGGUGAGUUACUUGAAUACAUGGGAUUUUGUUCCAGGAGCUUCCCUUUUCCCCACUGGGCAUCAUUGUAAUGGGGAGAAGAUCUGCCAGAGCUGCUUAAUCAAUGUAAACAUUUCUAUGCCUCUUAGCACUGGAUGGAGGAUACCAUCCACUUUGCAAAUGGGAAUGUGCGAUCUUGGAGCUGUCCCUGAGAAUUAGGCAUUGAUACCGGCAGUUUGCAUUUGAGGAAGCGGACUCGCAGAAAACUCAAAAGCAGAAUUAUCCAAAGAACAGGAAGGCAUUCAGUGUUUCAUUCUCACUGUAAGUCAGGGCAAGUCAAGAGUGCACAAGUGAGUUAAAAUGAGUUUGAAAAGCCAUGACCUGCUCACUGGAAUACAAGUCAAAUGUCCUAAUUCCCACAUGCUAUUUAGUAAGCUGUUGCACACAUAUGUGAAGACAGAUUUGUUUGAGCACUUCUGGGAGGAGAGGCAAGACCCAAGGCUCUCUCUUCCCUAAGGGAAUGUCCACAUCACUAGCCGACAGUCACACUCCUUCAUGCGGGCUCUUUUCUUGGCCCCAUUGACUCUUGUAUUCCUUUCUACCCAGUGGUCCAGCAUAAACAGAAUGUGUGGGGGUACCACCCAAACUUUUCUACACCUGGAGGUUCACACAUUUUCAGGGAAGGUUCAAACCUUGCCUCACCAGGUUUGGAAAGGCCUAGAGCCCAGGCCUCCCACUUCUAAGGCGAGUGCUCUAAGCACCUUCCCAAACUAUUAUGCAAAAGAUGGGCAUUAGCAACACCACCAGCACCAACACUUUUAAAUAGGAGUGGCCAGUCAUGCUGCGCCUUUGUAAUAAGCUCAGUACUGUCAUUGUGUAUUAGACACGGUGUGUACAUGCCUAAGAAAAGGAACUUCUCCAGGGACUUAUAUAGAGUUUAAGGGUCUCCCUAGCUCUUCUAUGGUCUGCAGUGCAACCUAAGUGAGACCUAUGGGCAUUUAUAGAUGUGCUCUGGGAACGGGGGCUUGGGGGCACAGUAAAGUGCCCAAAGCAUCAUGUGUGUCAGUGUCCCUCUGCAGAAGAAAUGAUGAUGGGGGCACUUUAACUAAAGCUCAUUAACCAAGCUUUAGUUAAAGUGACCUCACUGGCAUUAUUCACUGCAGGGACACUGGGUACACGUGACACUGGAAUCUGCUGAAGUGUGGUAUUACCAUGCUCCAGCAGAAUUGAGUCUGUUCCGAUAUGCUGUAAUUACAUCGUGUUGGAGCAGCCUCCCUGCAUGUGUAUAGGUGCCCUACGUGCCUAACUGCUUGAACUAGGUGUGCCUGAAACUAUUUAGAAGCCUAAACUAGGGUCCUAGACAAUUUUAUAGGCCCAAAUGAGGGAAGCAAAUUAAUUUAGGUACCCACAGGAUUUUGCAGCCACUGGAGCAGAAUUGAACUGGAUAUUUCCUUGUGAGCUGGAUGCCUAAAAUUCUCCUAAAUCCUGUUUAGGUGCCAAACUGACUAAUUUUGAUCUGGCUUUAAAUAACUCGCCCAAGGCAAUGCAGGAAGUCUAUGUCAGAGCUGGGAAUUACAUCCACAGUACUCCAGUCUUGGUGCCCCAAUCACAAGUCCAAACUUUAUCUUCAAAGUCACCAUUCCUCUCCCCAGUGAGCAGCUUAAUUAAUGUGUUUAUUAAUCUCGAAAACUUCACAGGGCUACUAAAGGCCAGGUGUGCCAGCUGGCUGCCUUGGAGUUUACUCCAUUUUCUCAUCCCCCAAUGCCAGGCAUUUAGUAAAGGGGGGAAAAACACUUAAAAACAUGGUAAUUUAAAUAUGAUGCAAGGCUGAGAGAACAAAGCACAGGAAGAGCUAACUCAAAACCAACCUGACUGAAAAGAAGAAAAUAUUAAAAAGCAGAUGAGCUAUAGUCUGCAUCUCCUGACAAAUAUAUGGAACUCCAAUUGGCCAUGAUAGUGCCACACAAUAAUUACGGUGACAGAUCUUUGCAACAAAUGGAAGUGUACAUUAGACAGGUGGAACUUUAAUUCAUUUUAAAAAUGAAAUUAAAGUUGACCUGAAAAGAAAAAAAUACAAGGUGAAUAGAGCUGAAAUCUGAGAAAGAGAGGUUGGCACUACUCUAGAGUCAUACAGUUUAAGGCCAGAAAGGACCAUUUUGCUCAUCCAGCCUGACCUCCUGCCUCAGAGCUAUGAAGAGGACAAGAUUUUGAGUGGGUUUCUUUGUCUGAUUUUGUUUUUAAUUCAACUUCGUAAAAGGAAUGAAAUUGGGGCCAGUCAAAACAUUUUAUGUUAACGUAACCAAAAUCGUUUACUUAAGUUCACCUUCCUAUUUUAUAAAAUAAUAUGUAAUAGCAUAAAAAAUAAAAUGCUGAAAUCAAAUAUCAUUUAAAAAUUAAAUAGAUUCUUUUUGUACUGCAAAUAUUGGAACAUUUUGACAUUGUUGGAACUCUUAGACACAAUUCAAGUGAAAUCAGUGUGAUUCUGCAAAAUGUUGUGGCUUUGAUGCAAUUACAUUCUCCAAGAGAAUACGGUUCCACUGAAGUUUUUCUGCCCAGUCCUACCCUGUAUAAUACAGAAAAUUCCACCAAGUCAUUCUGAUAGUGACCCCACAACUUCUGGCUGAGCACAAGCAGAUUCAUUAGCAAGACAUCCAGUCUUGCUAUAAAGGCUUCAGAUGAUGGAGGAAUGACUAUUUCCUUUGGUACAAUAGAACCCAGUUUAUAACAGAUUUAAUUUGCAGCUGGGUUCAAAAUUAAGAACAUGAUGCUUAAUUAUGGUACUUCAAAAGUUACUGUUUCUCCACUCAGGUAGAGUACAUCAGUGGUCCUAUCCAGCAUAUCGAACAAGCAGCACCCUUUGAAAUAAAAAUGGCAGCAAACAGCUGGAGCAGGGGGAGCAUGGGGCCAUCUGGCAAGUACCUCAAUACUUUGAGUGCUACAAAAAGUACAGCACUAUGGGGAUAUACAUAUUCAGAGCUCCAUGGCUGAAGUGCUAGCAAGUUGCCACAAAAACAUACUCUCCAGCAGGAGGGCAAUAGAAGGUCCAUCCUUUGUUCCUCCUGCCCUCAGAGGAGCCUGUCAGUCACCUUAAUCACUGACAGCCUGCUUUCUCCCCUGCUGGGGAAGGGGGACUGGGCAGUCUGUCAACCUCCCAUGGAGGGCAGUAUGCAGCUGCCCUGGUACCCCAUCAGCAACAGUGGCAAGCUACCUAGAUGUUCCUGUUGCCUCCAAGGCAACAGCAGCCACCUCUUCUGCUACCAGCACUGGGAAAGCUGCCCCAGUCCUUGCCAUUUCAGGGGCAGCUCAUCACAGCAAGCAAAGCUUCAGCCCCAGGUCCUGGCUAGGGUAGAGUUCUGUUAUCUGCAAGCUGUCAGAGAGCCAGCUGCUCUCCCUCCAUCCCUUUUUGGAGGAGUAGCAGGGGAGAAGAGGGCAGAGCAGUGUGGGAUACUAAAGGACCAAGAGAUCCCUUGUAUUGUUACAGGAAUCUAUCCACAUGUUACAUGUGGCACUAUAACAUGUAGUAUUACAGAGAAGUUCCUGUUUGAAAUGAAUACUGUUGUGGUGCAUCUGCCACUUUUGUAGCACUGCAAGUAGUACAAAUGUAUGCAAGCUUGCUUUUCGUACCAUUAAAAGGGCAACGGCAGCACUACAAAUGCAACGCAUGUCCAACGCCUCAGAGAUCCCACACAUCUGUUGCUUUGGCUGUAUACACCCCACCUACUUCCCAAAUCCUGAUCUUCAUGGGCUAGGAACCUCAGCCUGUAAAAUAUUUAAGUUCUAUUGUAGUGUAUGAAGAGAUUGGAAAAUGAACCCCAUAAAAAUGCUACCCCAGAACCUUUCCUUUGGUAUUAAAUGCUUUACUAGAAUAGCCAGAUCAAGAAAAGGGGAAAUUCAGAUAUAUCAUUUGCAACUCUAAAUAAUCUAGAUGAGAGAGGGAUCCUCUGGCAUGUCUGUGUAUUAAACCCAUUGUUUAAUAAUCUGUGAUUGUAAAUAUAUUUCAGAAUAAUUUCUUUCAGAGUAUAAACCAUUUAAUUAUG